rnacentral:tRNA from 1 species
GGGGACGUGGCCUAGCCCGGUAUGGCGACGGGCUCCAGACUCGUCGAUCCUGGGUUCAAAUCCCAGCGUCCCC